AGCUAAGCCAGCUGAAAUAUAUUCAGCUUCUGCAGAAGAUUAAGCAACAGUUUGUUGUUUCUUUGACCACACGAAACUGCUCCUGAACCUAAUGAGAAAACAUAUCCAGAGUUGCUUUUCAUGUCAUCCAUACAACCUGCCCAGUCACUGUCGCAAAAGCCAAUUAACUUACUUUCAACCUUGCUGUCAUAUUUGAUUCCAUAGUCCAAAGUGCCUUGAAUAUAUCUCAACACCCUUUUUGCAGCUCCUAGAUGGAUAUGGCUUGGAUCAUUCAUGAACCGUAAAGUAAACUUGCAGCAAACAUG
rnacentral:lncRNA from 1 species